UCCCUGAUAGCUCAGUUGGUAAAGAAUCUGCCUGCAAUGCAGGAAACCUUGGUUCAAUUCCUGGGUUGAGAA
rnacentral:tRNA from 1 species